ensembl:lncRNA
UUUUGCCCUUGGGCCAUCUGCAACCAGACAGCAAUAAACUCUUUGCUAGUUGCUUGAACUUUGCCUGCCUCAGUAGUCUCAAUUUUGUCUGUCUGAUCUUACAGGAACGAGAGAGUCUAUUUAUAAUUAUGCAUCCAUUUGUUGACUCCCUAUAAGGAAGGUAAAUGCAGUUGGACAAAGAUUGAUUCUGGAAAGGAUCCUCUGGGUAAUUGAUGUAUUACUCAGAAUUUGGAUAUUGAAACGAGCAACAUAUUGCUUUUCCAGAGGAUACUCAAAGUUAUGGGGCCCCUGAAGUGUAUUGUUAAACAAACACUAGCAGUGCUGUAUCUUGGAAUAUAGUUGAGAGUAUGGCCUCGCUAUGCAUCCAUUUAGAAGAUCCAGAAACAAC